ensembl:lncRNA
AUGGAAAGAGAGAGCUCGUCUUGCUCACAAGCCCCAAAUGUCAAAGGGGAGAAGAUAUUUGCGCUUAAGGGAGGAAAAAGUGAAAAAAAAAAAUCCCAACCAAAACCCCAAAAAUCCGAGCCCAACAAUAAAAGCCCCAGAUAUAGCUGGGGAGGAGAGAGAAGUGAGGGAAGAGGGAGUAAGAAGGGGGGGGGGGGGGCUUCAGCUGUACCGGGGCUGACACGGUGCGUCUGUACUUCCAGAGAAGCGGGAAGCGACUCCGGCAUCCCGCUUUCUUCCUCGGCGGUUUUCUUGGGAAUUGUGCGGGAGCACCGCUGUUUCUCCCGGGCUGCACUCCCCGGGCUCUGCGAGGCAGCCCCAGGACUCCGUGACCUCCCCUUGCCCCUCGCUCAAACGCCUCCAGAGGGCUUGGGCAGCCCCGCAGCGGCACAAGGGCGGGCGGCGGAGCCCCCUCCGCUCCCCCAAAUCUUUCUCCGUACGGUCAAGCCCACAGAACGGGCUGGAAAGGCGAGAUUUUGGGAAACCUGUGGAGAAAAUGGACGUGAUCUGCGUGUCGAAGCGAAGCUGAAGGAUCAACACUGCUGUCGACGUCCAGCGUGUAUGACCAGGUUGUUAAAGACUGGGCGAUUUUUGUUCAUACAAACUGGAUUUCUGCGAGGUUCAAUUUAACCCCGUGCGGCUCGUCACGUUUCUUUUACCGAAAAAAAGUACCUUUCUGGAGAGCCUGCCGUCAGCUGGGUACUGCUCUCUAUUUCGAGACCGAAAAGGUACGAUGGAAUGUAUGCAAAGUGACUGUAGCCUUUCAGGAUGUUACUGAGGUUAAAUCUAAGUCCCGGGACGGUAAGAGCAAAAACCUGGUAGCCGUCCAAGAACAAAAUCGUUAUUUUCAAUUGAGUCGAGGUUUGGUGGGGUGUUUUUUUUUUUUGUUUGUUUGUUUUGGGGUUUUUUUUGUUUGUUUGGUUUCCUCCUUUCUUCCUUUUCUUUCUUAGCGUAGCUGGAAAGUGUCUUUGUUCUUUGUAAAUUAGUGUGGUCUUUAACACGUUCUCGUCACGAUUGAUUGGUGGGACGGUAUACACAGCAAAAAAUGACAGCGCUUAGCAAUAUAAAUGCAGUAGCCUGGGUUUGGAUGACCGGUGUGCCAGCGAGCGCUUGCCUUUUUUUUUCCCCCUCACUUUUUUAUUUUUAUUAUUAUUUUAUUUAUUUAUUUAUUUAUUUUUAAACAUUCGUGAUUUCAAAACUGUGGCCAGGAACCGGGGAUGUAAUUUCAUAAAUGUGUCCCCCAUGGCAGCUUAGCCACCUCUGGCUGGAGAGGGGCUGCCGGGCACCGGGACCAUGGGCAUGGGGACAUCCCUUCUGCCUUCCUCAAACGUUAAGUUUCUCGCUCCUUUUCGUUCCCCGGUCCAAAGAUUUCUCUGAUGAUAACAAAAUAUCUGUGUAACGACUCGCUUUCGUGCCAGGCUCAUCAUCCUGCUCAUCCCCUCUAUGUCAGCUUUAUCAGCGUCCCAUUUUCAAACACCCUUUUCCUCAGGGGUGUCCCCAAGCUCAUAUUUUUGUGUGUCCCCCGUCCGUCCCUAUCCCGCCCCAGUGACACUGAGGCGGGGUUUCGUCUCUUGUCAAACUUUGCACAGACUUGGGUGUAAAUUCAGGUAUUUGAGCUCUAUAGACGACUGUGUUAUCUUCCUAUUCGGCAUAAUUAAAUGAUGUGAUUUAAAAUCUCGUCGUAAAAAUACCAAAUGCAAAUACUCGGCACCUUGGCUGUCUGGUGGUACUUUUAUUUCUCCUGGCACAUCAGGAGUUAUUUAACAUGUAGGAAAAAAGCGAAGGAUCACGUCUUUUUAGCAGAAGGUCAAACGGUGCAAUUAAGCAAAGAAGUUCAGAGAGUCGGGAAACGUUGAAAUGCUGCUAUUAAAAAAAAAUAAAAAAAAAAAAUAAAAAUCA